UUGUCGUCACAGCAGCUGCAGAGGA
rnacentral:misc_RNA from 1 species